rnacentral:rRNA from 1 species
CAGCCGCCACGGUAAUACGUAGGGCGCGAGCGUUAAUCGGAAUUACUGGGCGUAAAGCGUGCGCAGGCGGUUAUAUAAGACAGAUGUGAAAUCCCCGGGCUCAACCUGGGACCUGCAUUUGUGACUGUAUAGCUAGAGUACGGUAGAGGGGGAUGGAAUCCCGCGUGUAGCAGUGAAAUGCGUAGAUAUGCGGAGGAACACCGAUGGCGAAGGCAAUCCCCUGGGCCUGCACUGACGCUCAUGCACGAAAGCGUGGGGAGCGAACAGGAUUAGAUACCCCGGUAGUCCCUGUCUCUUAUAC